CAAGCAUUUCAUUUUGCAAGUUUUCAACACCAGCUUCUUGCAUAAUCAACGAUCAGAAAAGGUAAUUUUCAUAAAAUAUGUGAUAAAAAUAAAUUUAGAAUGUAUUUAUGAUAUAAAAAAUAUGUAAUUUAACAUACUAUUAUGUUAAAAAAGUAACUGAAACUUAAGUCUAUAGCGUUAAGUUCUUAUGUGAUAGAAAAAUUUGAAGUUGGAAAAGUUGUAGUAGAAUCAUAUUAACUUGUUUAAUUUGUUUUAUUUGAAAGGUUUUUUUUUUUGUUAACUGAAAAUUGCGGUUACUGAGCAGCGCGGAGUACCUCGGAGUGUCCGCGCAGCACAGAGUGCCUCGAAAGGAAGCACUCCACGCUGCGCUUCAAAAAGAAGCAACACGUUGCACGGAGUCAAACUUCGCGCAGCGCAACUUUUUGCUUUUAUUUUUUUAGAUGAUGUUCAGUGUCAAAUAUUUUUUUAUCUUUUAUUUUUUUUAUUAGGUGAUUUAUUUAAGUUUCUUUACACCCAUUUCGCGCUAACACUUCAUCCCAAAUCCCACCUCAAUAUUUACUAAAUAUAUAUCAAUUCCUAACUGUUUAAUUUUACGAAUAACUUUAUAAUAUCCCACAAAAACUAUUAUAAUCUUAUCCACAACCAUCACAAUUUUUUACAUUUUUCCUUUAUCUAAGUACUUUAAUUUGUACUUAUUGAAUAUAUACUUUUUUAUAUAUAUUCUUUUUCCAAGUCAAAUAAUCAAUUACAUUUAGAUAAAUUGAUUUAACAAGACAUUUAUAUGAACAUAUUUAAAUUAUUUAAAGCAUCAAAUAAUCUAUCAAAUGUGAUCUAUAUUCGAUUACAAGAAUCAUGUAUCAACAAAUUUAAAUUCAAACUUUAAUAUUUCAAUAUCAACAAAAUAAUUUAAAAACAAGGAAGUUUUUUUUUUUUUUUUUUGUAAAAAAUAGUUCAAUUUCAUUUUAAUCACAACUUUUAUUCUUUCUAACUAUGCAUCAUCAGGCCAACUUCUACUACCAAAAAUAGAUAUUGUUCAACACGGUGAGGGAGAAAUAAAAUACAAACAUAACAAUGUGCCGACAAAUCAUCACUAUUAAUUUUACAAUAAUACUCUGUACGUAGUAAUAUUGAACAUCAGUUUAAAUUUUAACAUGUUAUGGGUCAUAUUAAAUCAACCAUAAUUUAUUAUAUUUAAUUGCACUUAUAAUACAAUAAUACUCUGUAUCGUAGUAAUAUUGAACAUUAGUUUAAUAGUAAUAUUGCACAUCAGUUUAAAUUUCAACAUGUUAUGGGUCAUAUUAAAUCAACCAUAAUUCAUUGUAUUUAAUUGCACUUAUAAUUUAAUGUUAUUAGCUAUUAGUGCUUCAUCUAAACUAAUUUUUUGCACAUCCUAAAUUUCAUCCACGUAUAAUGUGUUAUUGGAUGCGUCUUAGGUCUAAAUAAGCCCUACAAGGCUCGAACCUCUGAUGAGAAAGUAAUUCCAUAGCCAUAUAUUUAACAUAUGAGUUGUACUCUAACUUAGUUUUCUUUAUUUAUAAUUCUUUGUAGGAUUGUCUUUGACAUAUAUAAAAGAGCAGAAAAGUUAAUCAUCAAAAAACUGUUUAAGAAAAUUCCUUUAUUUGUUCCUAAGGUAACAUUCCUCACACUUAUUCUUGUUAUUAUGUUUAUUCUAUGUGCUUAAUUGUAUAAGUUGAACAAAUAUUUUUCACUUUCUCAUUAGAUAAAUGGUGAUGAAUAUUGUUUUUCAUUAAAUAAAUGGUGACCAAUGUUGUUUGAGUAAACAUAUUAGGCAAAAUAGAAAAUGAAUACGUGUUUUAAUGUUUGUUAGUACCUAUUUCUAAGUUGGUGUCUAAAUAAGAAAAUUAUAGUUUGAGUAGACAAGAACUGGUUUCUUAUUGUAGAGUAGUUAAACAAAAUAUUCAAUACUAAAGUUCUUUAUUAUCAAGUAUAUGUGAUUCCUAUCAUAUACCUCUUUAUGUUUUGUAGAUGUCGUUAGAAUAUAUAUUAUCUCCAAAUCAAUGAUUUUAUGCUACCAUUACUUAAUUUUCAAAUCAUCAAUAUCUUCAAGAUUUUGUAGAAUUUAUAGAUGGAGACAAUCAAGCUUCUUUAUUAUGCAGUCACUUUCAAUGAUUUAUCUAUGGAAGUACGUAUAAUGAACAAAAUGAAAAAUUUAGUAGCAAAUUAAUACACAAGUUUAUAAUGAGACUUAUCAACUGUGACAAAAAUAAUGAAGUUUGGGUACGAUUAGAGAUCAUGUGGCCCGUUUUGACAUGCAAGAAUUUUGUCUAAUUACCGAAUUACCAUGCCAUGAAGUAGCUGUUGAUUUGAAUUUCAAUAAUACUCACCUAAGGGAUGAAUACUUCGAUCGUUCAAAAAGAAUUACUAUGAAAAGACUUUCUGAAGUAUUUCACAUGUGUGAAAAUCUAGAAGAUAAAUUCAAGUUAGGAUUAGUUAUGUUCGUCGAAUGCGUUUUAAAACCAAAUGGAAGAUACAUCGAUUUUAGAACCCUUGGAAUGGUUGAACAACUUGAUGAAUUUCUUAUGUAUCCGUGGGGACGUAAAGCAUACUUUGUUUUACUAAAUUCAUUGCAAGAAUCACACCUUGAAAGAAUACGAAGGAUGCAACAAAAUGACCAAACGAAUUGUAAAUAUUCGUUACAUGGUUAUCCACUUGCAUUCCAGGUAUUUUUCUUUUAUUUUUUUCCCUAUUAAAUAUAAUUUAAUCAUAUAAAAACUUUAAUAUUUCUUUUAUUUUUAUUUCAGUAUUGGAUUUAUGAAUCUUUUCCUCAAAUCGGGUGACAAUUUGGGCGUCGUAUUCAUACACGCUUCCAGUGUCCACGAAUGCAUAAAUGGAAGUCCAAAAUAGUAUUAACAGAACAAGUCGUUAAACAAUUUUUGGCUACUCAACAGGUAUGAUUCAUAUCAAUUUACAAUUAAAUAUGUAUUUCAUUAUUUAUAAAUAAAUUUCAAAUCAUAAAUCUAAUAUUUUAUUGCAAUUAUAGAUCACAGUAAUUGCAGUAUUGAAUCCUACUGAAGAAGAAUUAGAAACAUUCUGGUAUACAAAUAUUUCAUUACCAGCUGACAACCAACAUUGUAUACUAAACAGCAUUGUCAAUGAUGAAUCCAACAAUAUAACAGAACAAAUUCCAGAUGGUAACGUACAUAUGCAAGAAACAACUAUAGGAACUUUAGCUGGAAUUGGAUCUACUUCUUCUGAAAGCUCAAACUAUAUAACUAAACAAGAUAUGGAUCAGAUGUUCAACAUAUAUAGACAACAAGUGGUGUCAGAUGUAUUUAGUUUCUAUGAUAAAUUAAAAACACAAGUGAUUGAAGAAUCUACAAAACAAGAAGCUUGCUAUCAUGCCAUUCUUAAACAGCAAGAAACUCACUACCAAAAGAUUCUUGACAAUCAAAAACAAUUUUUUGAACAUCAACAACAAAGCCAACAAGACUAUUUCUAUAGCAUGCAAUCUUAUGUGGAUACCAGUUUCAACUCAGCCAAAUCUUACAUUGAUGAACAAAAUCAAAGUAUGCAGAAUCAAUUAUCCGAUUGGUAAUCACACAUGGAAACGAUUGUCAGCUCUAUCCAACGAGAUAUACCUCCUCGUACAAGUCCAAUUGAGUUUGAAAUCCCUUCAACAUCUGAACAUAUUGAAGACAUAGAAAGAUCGGUGAAAGAAAAAAAAGGUAAACAAAAACAGAUACAAUCUUUAUCAACAACGUCGAUUAAUGCUUUAGAAGACUAUAAUAUCAACAAGUACAAAAAUAUUACAGAAUGGAUAUUACAAAAUUCAUCGGGGUAAGAUAUUUAAUUUUACGUUGCUAAUUUAAAUAUUAUAAUUGGUAUUUUACUCAUUUAACACUGAUUUAAAUUCUCUUAUACAUCGCAUAUUGGAACGAUGGAAUCGGCAAUCUAUGCGGAAAACAAUCGCUAGAAAAUAUACUAGAUGAAACGAAAAGUAUAAAUAUUGAGGUAAGUAAAAUUUAAUAAUCAUAAUUUAUUUUUCUCCAUUAUUCAUAGAUCUAAUUUACAUUUUUUGUUUACUAGCAUAUUGAUAUAGAAUUAAAGCUAUUGAGAAGGCUUGUUACCGUCGGUUCUCCGUUGCUUUCUAAAGAAUAUGCAAUCAUGGACCUUAGAUUCGAAACUGAAUGUGUUCAUUGGUAUAUAAAUAUGAAAGAAGGAACUGGCAAUUCUGUAACUAAUUUCAACGCAUUACAACGAUACAUAAAAGGAGAUUGCCUGUAUCUGCUCGACCUUAGAUAAUAUACAACUAUUUACUAAUUCCAUCAGCAUAUCCAGGCAACACUUGGUUUCUUUUUCUUGUUGAUUUUCAAAAGUGGAAAUUUCAUAUAUAUGAUUGUAGCCACACCAUUCAUACAUCAAAAGAAAUCAAAGCACGUGCAGAACCAGUAAUGACUGUAGUCGAAUCAUUAUUAAUCUCUGCAAACAUUUUCUCCAUCAAACCAAGUUUGAGAAAACAUAGAAAUAAACGUAUAAAAUUGGAAAUCAUACUGUAUCUACAUUGUCAAAAGAAUGGGUAAGCAUCUCCACAAUUCACUAUACUAUUUAAUUUUUUAUUUAAUUUAAUGUUAAAUUUACAUACAAUAUUAAUAUAAUCUAACUUUAAACUAUCUUUUCUAAGGCUAAAUUCUUGAGCUUUCGUUCUCAAGUACAUAAAUGCUUCGUUUUUGGAUAUCCAUUAGAAGUAGUUUCACCAAAGAAGAUAAGUUUGUACAGACAAAAAAUUGCAACAGAUAUCUGUCAAAAUGAAUAUUUUUUACGUCCCUGUUUAGCCUAAUUCUAACAAAUUUUGAAAAUACAGAAAGAUUCUUAAAAUACAGUAAGAUCCCUUUGUCAAAAUUCGAUGCACAAUCUAAUAUUUAUAACUUUAAAAUUGUUUAUUUUAAAUAUUUUUGUACAUGAGAAUAAGUGUAGAUUGUUCGAUAGCAAAUACAACACUACUUAACACACAAGAUUUCAAAGUGUCGGACUAAAGGCGCAAAUUAUGAUAUUUUGAGCAAUUAUCCUCUCUCUCUCUCUCACUCUUUCUGGAUGCACUAAAUUUUUAGUUUAAAAUUAAAGAAAGUUUGUUAAUAUCACUAUACUUAUUUUUACAGUGGAGACCAUACUGUAAAAGAAAUCAACUGUCAAAUUAGAAAAUGCUUAAACAUGUUGAAAGAUUAUCGAAGGAUACUUUGGGUGGUAAGCUUUUAUUCUAAAACUUUACAUAUUAAUUUCAUUAUUGUCUAUAAAACUACUGUGAAAUCUCUUUUUGGAAGAUCAGUCUAACAUUUAAACUCAUAGAGAUAAAUAAAUGGUAAGUUAAGGAAGAAAAAAAUAAAAAAGAUAGAUUAUACAAACGAAGGUAUAUUAUUUAAUUCCUCAUCAUGAAUAUGUUCUCAUCGCUUCUGACUAAUGAUAUAAAAAUUUAUCCAACCUUCUAUUAUGUAGAAUAUAUACCUUAAUGUUCUGUUCAACACAUUUUACAUAGUGUUAUGCAUCUAUUGCGACUUAUGAUCUACUUUUCACAAUAGAUUUUCCAUGUCUCAGAUAAUUGGAUGGUUGCGUUGUUUUAUUUAGCUUGAACUUUAUGAAUUCAUUUAAUGUGUCAUUGUUGCUUGGUCUUCUGUUGGUUAAAUUCCAUUCACUCCAUCGUGAAUUUCUUCAAGUAGAAGUUUAUAUACAAAGUUCGACUAUGGGAUGCAAACGCUGCUAAAUGUUCAUGUAACCUUAAAAUUUGAGCAUUAAGCAACAAUGGCUACAAUUACGAACCCCCUUAUGAGUGGCAAGUCUACAAGUGACCUAUUUCUUUUUCUCUUAUAAUAGCUUCAUCUUAUAAGUUUGGAAAAAUAGUCCCAAAAGUUCCCCGUACCAUUUUCUUGUAUUUUACUAAAACUAUAUAUAUAAUCUAAUGCAGAGUUUAUUAUACUUGCACUCAUUUUUCAAGGUACAUAGAGAUAUUAAAGGUAGUAAUGUAUUGUUGACAGAGUUAAAUAUUAUUUUACUAUCUAUAUUUACAAAAAUUUCUUGUUAAUACUUAUGCAGGUGGGUGAUUAAUUUACUUUAUCGUUCUAGAAAUCUUAGAAAGCCCUUUAAGUUAGAAUCUGUUAUAUAUGCCAGUGCAAAGGUACUUUUAUUAUGUCUGUCUUCAUUUAUAUCUCAAUUGACAUUAUUUUUACUUUGCUAUUUCUGUCAAAUUUCUAACCAGUAUAUUUAGGCUUUUUAAUUGUACUAUUGUGAAUGUAUUCUGCUUACACCUUAAUCAUUCGAAUGAAAUAAAUAACAUGAUGAUAGAGAUAGGACAAAGACUUGGGUUCAUAUUUGCCGCCACCAAUUCAUGAUACUUUUGCAAGUGAUAUGCUGAUGAUAAAAUGAAUUCAUGAAGCUUUUGAAAAUCAAAUUUAAAUAAAUAAAUAAAUGUAACCACUUCACGAAGGCCUAAGGUUUUGGAUCACAUGUUCACAUAAAUUUAUUCAUUUGUAUUUUUGUUGUAAUGCAUAGAAUUUAUCAGUCCUUAUCGAUUUAUGAAGUAAUUUAUUUUACGUCAGAUAUAAUUUUGUGCAAUUUUCAUGUCCGCUAAAAUGAAAAUUGAAAAAAUGAAAUGAAUAUUUAAAUAGUGGAGACUACAAUGUUAUGCAUAUAUGAUUAUUCACAUUUCAAUUCUUAAUUAUAGAGAUCAUGGGAAAGGGCAAAAAUGGCAUCAUCGUUGGAUGAAGUUGGUAGAGCUCCGCUUCAUUUUGCUCCAUUUAUGCUUAUUUAUAAAUCAAAAGAUAUCAAUAAAAUUAUAUUAAAGUUUUUGGUUUUUGUGGUUUCUAUUGGGUGUUGAUUUAUUGAUAUAGUUGCGGCGACGGAUAAUAAUAACAUUGUAAAAUGCUAUAAAGGAAUUGACACGGAUGUGAUAUUGACAACAUAAUCAUGUUAAAUUGGUAAAAUAAGUCCUUCAAUCUGUUAUGAAUCAUUGAAACUUGUGUUGGUUGGAUAUAUUGCUGAUUUUUUGCUUUUGUAAAUUUUCUAGGCACAGAGCAUUGUAAUGAAGUACAUCAAAAGCUUUGGAACAAGUACAAUAUUGUAUUCAAAUGGAUGAACCUCUUAUUAAACCUAAAAUAAUGGAUGGCAUGGUAAAGGCUCUUCAGGUAGUAUUUAUGCCAAAUGUACUUCUGGCAAAUGAAUUCAAUAAUACAACAAAUAACAAAAAAUGGAAAAGAUAACGAUAGUAAAGGUUGAGCUCAUAUUUUAUUAUCUUUUCUCUCCAACAAGAUAGCAAUCAAUACUAUCUCCAAAAUGCGAUGCCCAGUUCCUGCAAUGAGCAAUGGCACAUUGCCAGUUUCUACUUGGUAUGUCAUUUAGGCCCACUUCAAACCAGUCUACAACUCGUGCUACUCAUGCCUCAAGGCUAUAUUAUAGCGUGUAGCUACCACUUAGGAGUUCAAAGUGGUCAACUGCACAUUGAUUUAUUUUUGUUGAAUUCCAAAUGUUAGUGUUUUGUAUGUACCUGAGUGUUAAGAAAGUCUCAUUCGUGGAUACGAACCAAUAAUAAAGUCCCCAAUGUGAACCAAUCCUUGGUCAUAUAAUUAUUGUCAGAUCACCCUUAGGGUGCCAUGAGUAUCAAGACUUGGAGUUGUUCGUCUAUCAAUGUUUGAGCUAUUUUUAUGGAUUUC
rnacentral:lncRNA from 1 species